rnacentral:snRNA from 1 species
UCGGGGGCUUCUGCCGUAUCAGGGCCUUUUCCCAUUGGGAAAAAGACCCGGUGUACAAUUUUUGGAACGCCUCCGGGUAACACCGGGGGCAA